GAUGAACGCUGGCGGCGUGCCUAAUACAUGCAAGUCGAGCGAAUGGAUUAAGAGCUUGCUCUUAUGAAGUUAGCGGCGGACGGGUGAGUAACACGUGGGUAACCUGCCCAUAAGACUGGGAUAACUCCGGGAAACCGGGGCUAAUACCGGAUAACGCAUCCCGGCUCAAGCCGGUAUGCCAAAGGUAGCUUCGGCUUCCGCAUUGGGAUGGGCCCGCGGCCCAUUAGCUUGUUGGUGGGGUAACGGCCUACCAAGGCAACGAUGGGUAGCUGGUCUGAGAGGACGAUCAGCCACACUGGGACUGAGACACGGCCCAGACUCCUACGGGAGGCAGCAGUGGGGAAUCUUGCGCAAUGCGCGAAAGCGUGACGCAGCAACACCGCGUGAGGGAAGACGGCCUUAGGGUUGUAAACCUCUUUCAGUUGGGACGAAGGUUCGACGGUGAAUAGCCGGCCGGACUGACGGUACCUUCAGAAGAAGCUCCGGCUAACUACGUGCCAGCCGCCGCCGUAA
rnacentral:rRNA from 1 species